rnacentral:rRNA from 1 species
GUUUGAUCCUGGCUCAGGAUGAACGCUAGCGGUCGGCCUAACACAUGCAAGUCGAGCGGCAGCAUGAGGUAGCAAUACUUUCAUGGCGAGCGGCGCACGGGUGCGUAACGCGUAGACAACUUACCCAUAGCAGGGGAAUAGCCCGGCGAAAGCUGGAUUAAUACCCCAGAUAUCACAGAAUGGCAUCAUUUUGUGAUUAAAGCUCCGGUGGCUAUGGAUGGGUCUGCGUCCUAUUAGCUAGUUGGUAAGGUAACGGCUUACCAAGGCUACGAUAGGUAGGGGGUCUGAAAGGAUGAUCCUCCACACUGGCACUGAGACACGGGCCAGACUCCUACGGGAGGCAGCAGUGAGGAAUAUUGCGCAAUGGGCGAAAGCCUGACGCAGCCAGACCGCGUGUAGGAAGACAGCCGUAAGGUUGUAAACUACUUUUGUUUGGGAGGAAAAGUAGGGACGUGUCCCUAUCUGACAGUACCAAAAGAAUAAGCACCGGCUAACUCCGUGCCAGCAGCCGCGGUAAUACGGAGGGUGUAGGCGUUAUCCGGAUUUACUAGGUUUAAAGGGUCUGUAGGCGGUUAUAUAAGUCAGUGGUGAAAUGUCUGAGCUCAACUCGGACACUGCCAUUGACACUGUAUAACUUGAGUUCGGUUGCUGUUGGCGGAAUGUAUCAUGUAGCGGUGAAAUGCAUAGAUAUGAUACAGAACACCGAUUGCGAAGGCAGCUAACAAAGCCGUUACUGACGCUGAUAGACGAAAGCGUGGGGAGCGAACAGGAUUAGAUACCCUGGUAGUCCACGCCGUAAACGAUGAUUACUCGUUGCUGGUGAUACACAAUCAGUGACUGAGCGAAAGCAUUAAGUAAUCCACCUGGGGAGUACGUUCGCAAGAAUGAAACUCAAAGGAAUUGACGGGGGCCCGCACAAGCGGAGGAACAUGUGGUUUAAUUCGAUGAUACGCGAGGAACCUUACCUGGGCUUAAAUGAUAGGCGCCUUCGGGCGUAGUCCUUCGAAAGAAGGCUUAAACUUUCAAGGUGCUGCAUGGUUGUCGUCAGCUCGUGCCGUGAGGUGUCGGGUUAAGUCCCAUAACGAGCGCAACCCCUAUUCUUAGUUGCCAUCAGGUCAAGCUGGGCACUCUAAGGAAACUGCCAUCGUAAGAUGUGAGGAAGGUGGGGAUGACGUCAAAUCAGCACGGCCCUUAUGUCCAGGGCUACACACGUGUUACAAUGGUCGGAACAAAAGGUUGCCACCUAGUGAUAGGGAGCUAAUCCUCAAAACCGGCCUCAGUUCGGAUUGGAGUCUGCAAUUCGACUCCAUGAAGCAGGAUUCGCUAGUAACCGCGUAUCAGCAACGACGCGGUGAAUACGUUCCCGGGCCUUGUACACACCGCCCGUCAAGCCAUGGAAGCUGGGUGCACCUGAAGUUCGUAACCGCAAGGAGCGACCUAAGGUGAAACUAGUGACUGGGGCUAAGG